rnacentral:rRNA from 1 species
GACGAACGCUGGCGGCGUGCUUAACACAUGCAAGUCGAACGAAGUGGCGGAUGGGCGAGUAACACGUGAGGAACCUGCCUUUCACAGGGGAAUAACACUGGGAAACCAUUGCUAAUACCGCAUAGUGAAAGAUGGCCUCGCGCCUGAUUAGCUAGUAGGUGAGGUAACGGCUCACCUAGGUGAUGAUCAGGAGCAGGACUGAAGGAGAAUCGGCCGAGUUGGGAAUGAGACACGGCACAGGCUCAUACGGGAGGCAGGAGUGGGGAAUAUUGGGCAAUGGCGCAAGCCUGAAGAAGCAACGCGGCGUGAAGGAAGACGGUCUUCGGAUUGUAAACUUCUUGAGAAGAGACGCGGUACCUGUAGAAUAAGCCACGGCUAACUACGUGCCAGCAGCCGCGGUAAUUC